CGCCACGAGAAUUAUAUUCAUGGUUUUGUCUGCCCAGUGCUCGAGGAGUAAACGGCGGUCUUAGGAUCCUAAGGUAGCGUAAAUAUGCCCUUUAAUUGGGGGCCAGUGAAUGGCUAGACGACAGGUUAACUGUCUUUAAGUUAAACAUAAAAUUUAAAUUGUAGGUGAACAUGCCUCUAUUUUGGCGCGGGACAAAAAGACCCUAUGAAGUCUUUAUCUAAAAUUUAAACAUAAGUAUAUUUCUGACGAUUUUGCUUGGGGCAAGCAGUGACAAGUAAAAGUCUCUUACGUCUGGUUAUACUAACGGCGGUUUAGCGCAUAGUAACGCGUGUUUAUAGAUAUUCCUAUAAUGUAAUGAGCCAAUAUUAUUGACUAAGGGAACAGGUUACUCUAGGGAUAACAGAGAUCGCUGCACGGGGAGCUCAUAUCUAUGUGCGGGUUGGUUACCUCGAUGUUGGCUCAGGGUUACUAGCUGGUUGCAGGAGCUAGCUAAGUGGGACUGUUCGUCCUUUAAUUCCCU
rnacentral:rRNA from 14 species